GUACACUCCUGCGGGAGGCAGCAGUGGGGAAUAUUGGACAAUGGGCGCAAGCCUGAUCCAGCCAUGCCGCGUGAGUGAUGAAGGCCCUAGGGUUGUAAAGCUCUUUUGUGCGGGAAGAUAAUGACGGUACCGCAAGAAUAAGCCCCGGCUAACUUCGUGCCAGCAGCCGCGGUAAUACGAAGGGGGCUAGCGUUGCUCGGAAUCACUGGGCGUAAAGGGUGCGUAGGCGGGUCUUUAAGUCAGGGGUGAAAUCCUGGAGCUCAACUCCAGAACUGCCUUUGAUACUGAAGAUCUUGAGUUCGGGAGAGGUGAGUGGAACUGCGAGUGUAGAGGUGAAAUUCGUAGAUAUUCGCAAGAACACCAGUGGCGAAGGCGGCUCACUGGCCCGAUACUGACGCUGAGGCACGAAAGCGUGGGGAGCAAACAGGAUUAGAUACCCUUGUAGUCCC
rnacentral:rRNA from 1 species